rnacentral:rRNA from 1 species
UACGGGGGGGGGCAAGCGUUGUUCGGAAUUACUGGGCGUAAAGGGCUCGUAGGCGGCCAACUAAGUCGGAUGUGAAAUCCCCAGGCUCAACCUGGGAACUGCAUCCGAUACUGGAUGGCUUGAAUUCGGGAGAGGGAUGCAGAAUUCCAGGUGUAGCGGUGAAAUGCGUAGAUAUCUGGAGGAAUACCGGUGGCGAAGGCAGCUCGCUGGAACGGAACUGACGCUGAGGCGCGAAAGCGUGGGGAGCGAACAGG